rnacentral:rRNA from 1 species
AGUGAACGCUGGCGGUAGGCCUAACACAUGCAAGUCGAACGGCAGCACAGUAAGAGCUUGCUCUUACGGGUGGCGAGUGGCGGACGGGUGAGGAAUACAUCGGAAUCUACUUUUUCGUGGGGGAUAACGUAGGGAAACUUACGCUAAUACCGCAUACGACCUACGGGUGAAAGCAUGGGAUCUUCGGACCUUGCGCGAUUGAAUGAGCCGAUGUCGGAUUAGCUAGUUGGCGGGGUAAAGGCCCACCAAGGCGACGAUCCGUAGCUGGUCUGAGAGGAUGAUCAGCCACACUGGAACUGAGACGCGGUCCAGACUCCUACGGGAGGCAGCAGUGGGGAAUAUUGGACAAUGGGCGCAAGCCUGAUCCAGCCAUACCGCGUGGGUGAAGAAGGCCUUCGGGUUGUAAAGCCCUUUUGUUGGGAAAGAAAAGCAGCAGGUUAAUACCCCGCUGUUCUGACGGUACCCAAAGAAUAAGCACCGGCUAACUUCGUG